AUUGAACGCUGGCGGCAGGCCUAACACAUGCAAGUCGAACGGUAACAGGAAGCAGCUUGCUGCUUCGCUGACGAGUGGCGGACGGGUGAGUAAUGUCUGGGAAACUGCCUGAUGGAGGGGGAUAACUACUGGAAACGGUAGCUAAUACCGCAUAACGUCGCAAGACCAAAGAGGGGGACCUUAGGGCCUCUUGCCAUCGGAUGUGCCCAGAUGGGAUUAGCUAGUAGGUGGGGUAACGGCUCACCUAGGCGACGAUCCCUAGCUGGUCUGAGAGGAUGACCAGCCACACUGGAACUGAGACACGGUCAAGACUCCUACGGGAGGCAGCAGUGGGGAAUAUUGCACAAUGGGCGCAAGGCUGAUGCAGCCAUGCCGCGUGUAUGAAGAAGGCCUUCGGGUUGUAAAGUACUUUCAGCGGGGAGGAAGGGAGUAAAGUUAAUACCUUUGCUCAUUGACGUUACCCGCAGAAGAAGCACCGGCUAACUCCGUG
rnacentral:rRNA from 1 species